CCUACGGGUGGCUGCAGUCGAGAAUCAUUCACAAUGGGGGAAACCCUGAUGGUGCGACGCCGCGUGGGGGAAUGAAGGUCUUCGGAUUGUAAACCCCUGUCAUGUGGGAGCAAAUUAAAAAGAUAGUACCACAAGAGGAAGAGACGGCUAACUCUGUGCCAGCAGCCGCGGUAAUACAGAGGUCUCAAGCGUUGUUCGGAAUAACUGGGCGUAAGGCGGGCGUAGGCUGUUUCGUAAGUCGUGUGUGAAAGGCGCGGGCUCAACCCGCGGACGGCACAUGAUACUGCGAGACUAGAGUAAUGGAGGGGGAACCGGAAUUCUCGGUGUAGCAGUGAAAUGCGUAGAUAUCGAGAGGAACACUCGUGGCGAAGGCGGGUUCCUGGACAUUAACUGACGCUGAGGCACGAAGGCCAGGGGAGCGAAAGGGAUUAGAUACCCUAGUAGUC
rnacentral:rRNA from 1 species